rnacentral:rRNA from 1 species
CAAUAGCGUAUAUUAAAGUUGUUGCAGUUAAAAAGCUCGUAGUUGGAUUUCUGGUGGGAGCGAUCGGUCUGGCGCUUAGCGCGAGUACUUGCAUCGUCUCCGGCCAUCCUUGGGGAGAGUCUGUCUGGCAUUAAGUUGUCGGGCAGAGGAUCCUCAUCGUUUACUGUGAAAAAAUUAGAGUGUUCAAAGCAGGCUUAUGCCGUUGAAUAUAUUAGCAUGGAAUAAUAAGAUAGGACUUUGGUACUAUUUUGUUGGUUUGCGCACCAAAGUAAUGAUUAAUAGGGGCAGUUGGGGGUAUUCGUAUUCCGUUGUCAGAGGUGAAAUUCUUGGAUUUACGGAAGACGAACUACUGCGAAAGCAUUUACCAAGGAUGUUUUCAUUAA